CCUACGUGAGGCAGCAGUAGGGAAUAUUGCUCAAUGGGGGAAACCCUGCAGCAGCAACGCCGCGUGGAGGAUGAAGGUUUUAGGAUUGUACACUCCUUUUGUGAGAGAAGAUAAUGACGGUAUCUCACGAAUAAGCACCGGCUAACUCCGUGCCAGCAGCCGCGGUAAUACGGCGGGUGCCAGCGUUCCUAGGAAUCACUGGGCGUAAAGAGUGCGCAGACGGGCUGGUAAGUCAGAUAUGAAAUCCUGUAGCUUAACUACAGAACUGCAUUUGAAACUAUGAGUUUAGAGUGUGGGAGAGGUAGGUGGAAGUCUGGGUGGAGGGGUAAAAUCCGUAGAUAUCAAGAGGAAUACUCAUUGCGAAGGCGACCUACUGGAACAUUACUGACGCUCAUGCACGAAAGCGUGGGGAGCAAACAGGAUUAGAUACCCCUGUAGUC
rnacentral:rRNA from 1 species